GAUACUGACGCUGAGAUGCGAAAGCGUGGGGAGCAAACAGGAUUAGAUACCCUGGUAGUCACGCUGUAAACGAUGUCGAUUUGGAGUUUGUUGCCUAGAGUGAUGGGCUCCGAAGCUAACGCGAUAAAUCGACCGCCUGGGGAGUACGGCCGCAAGGUUAAAACUCAAAUGAAUUGACGGGGGCCCGCACAAGCGGUGGAGCAUGUGGUUUAAUUCGAUGCAACGCGAAGAACCUUACCUGGUCUUGACAUCCAUAGAAUUCUGCAGAGAUGUGGGAGUGCCUUCGGGAACUAUGAGACAGGUGCUGCAUGGCUGUCGUCAGCUCGUGUUGUGAAAUGUUGGGUUAAGUCCCGCAACGAGCGCAACCCUUAUUCUUUGUUGCCAGCGAUUUGGUCGGGAACUCAAAGGAGACUGCCGUUGAUAAAGCGGAGGAAGGUGGGGACGACGUCAAGUCAUCAUGGCCCUUACGACCAGGGCUACACACGUGCUACAAUGGCGUAUACAGAGGGAAGCGAAGGUGCGAGCUGGAGCGGAUCUCAUAAAGUACGUCUAAGUUCGGAUUGGAGUCUGCAACUCGACUCCAUGAAGUCGGAAUCGCUAGUAAUCGUAGAUCAGAAUGCUACGGUGAAUACGUUCCCGGGCCUUGUACACACCGCCCGUCACACCAUGGGAGUGGGUUGCACCAGAAGUAGAUAGCUUAACCGCGAGGGGGGCGUUUACCACGGUGUGAUUCAUGACUGGGGUGAAGUCGUAACAAGGUAACCA
rnacentral:rRNA from 1 species